rnacentral:rRNA from 1 species
GGGCUCACACAAGCGGUGGAGCAUGUGGCUCAAUUCGAAGCAACGCGAAGAACCUUAUCCUAGGUUUGACAUGCACGGAUUAGUCGGCAGAAACGUCGACGACACUCUCGUAGUGGAACGUGCACAGGUGCUGCAUGGCUGUCGUCAGCUCGUGCUGUGAAGUGUCGGGUUAAGUCCCUUAACGAGCGAAACCCCUAUCAUUAGUUGCCACCAUUCAGUUGGGGACUCUAAUGAGACUGCCGGUGUUAAACCGGACGAAGGUGGGGAUGACGUCAAGUCCUCAUGGCCUUUAUGCCUAGGGCUGCACACGUGCUACAAUGGCGCGCACAGAACGAUGCAAGACCGUAAGGUGGAGCAAAUCGCUCAAAACGCGCCCCAGUUCGGAUAGUGGGCUGCAACCCGCCCACUUGAAGUCGGAAUCGCUAGUAAUCGCGGAUCAGCUACGCCGCGGUGAAUAUGUUCCUGAGCCUU